rnacentral:rRNA from 1 species
GGAGCAAGCGUUGUCCGGAUUUACUGGGUGUAAAGGGUGCGUAGGCGGCUUUGCAAGUCAGAUGUGAAAUCUAUGGGCUCAACCCAUAAACUGCAUUUGAAACUGUAGAGCUUGAGUGAAGUAGAGGCAGGCGGAAUUCCCCGUGUAGCGGUGAAAUGCGUAGAGAUGGGGAGGAACACCAGUGGCGAAGGCGGCCUGCUGGGCUUUAACUGACGCUGAGGCACGAAAGCGUGGGUAGCAAACAGGAUUAGAUACCCUGGUAGUCCACGCUGUAAAC